rnacentral:rRNA from 1 species
GCUAAUACCGUAUACGUCCGUGAGGAGAAAGAUUUAUCGCCCUGAGACGGGCCCGCGUCGGAUUAGCUAGUUGGUGGGGUAACGGCCUACCAAGGCGACGAUCCGUAGCUGAUCUUAGAGGAUGAUCAGCCACACUGGGACUGAGACACGGCCCAGACUCCUACGGGAGGCAGCAGUGGGGAAUCUUGGACAAUGGGCGCAAGCCUGAUCCAGCCAUGCCGCGUGAGUGAAGAAGGUCUUCGGAUUGUAAAGCUCUUUUGCCAGGGACGAUAAUGACGGUACCUGGAGAAUAAGCCCCGGCAAACUUCGUGCCAGCAGCCGCGGUAAUACGAAGGGGGCUAGCGUUGUUCGGAAUUACUGGGCGUAAAGCGCACGUAGGCGGGUCGUUAAGUCAGGGGUGAAAUCCCGGAGCUCAACUCCGGAACUGCCUUUGAUACUGGCGAUCUGGAGAUCGGAAGAGGUGAGUGGAAUUCCCAGUGUAGAGGUGAAAUUCGUAGAUAUUGGGAAGAACACCAGUGGCGAAGGCGGCUCACUGGUCCGAUACUGACGCUGANGUGCGAAAGCGUGGGGAGCAAACAGGAUUAGAUACCCUGNUANUCCACGCCGUAAACUAUGGAAGCUAGCCGUCAGUCAGCUUGCUGAGUGGUGNCGCAGCUAACGCAUUAAGCUUCCCGCCUGGGGAGUACGGUCGCAAGAUUAAAACUCAAAGGAANUUGACGGGGGCCCGCACAAGCGGUGNAGCAUGUGGUUNAAUUCNAANCANGCGCAGAACCUUACCUACCCUUGACAUGUCCAGUANGGG